rnacentral:rRNA from 1 species
UGGCGGCCACAGCCUUCUGGUACCACCCCUUCCCUUCCCGAACAGGACCGUGAAACAGUUGAGCGCCAAUGAUAGUGAGCACCUCGCUCGCGAAAGUAGGUCACCGCCAGAC